rnacentral:rRNA from 1 species
GGGUUGUGAGGUUAAGCGACCAAGCGUACACGGUGGAUGCCCUGGCAGUCAGAGGCGAUGAAGGACGUGCUAAUCUGCGAAAAGCGCCGGUAAGGUGAUAUGAACCGUUAUAACCGGCGAUGUCCGAAUGGGGAAACCCAGUGUGACUCGUCACACUAUCAUUAACUGAAUCCAUAGGUUAAUGAGGCGAACCGGGGGAACUGAAACAUCUAAGUACCCCGAGGAAAAGAAAUCAACCGAGAUUCCCCCAGUAGCGGCGAGCGAACGGGGA